rnacentral:rRNA from 1 species
AGCAGCCGCGGUAAUUCCAGCUCCAAUAGCGUAUAUUAAAGUUGUUGCAGUUAAAAAGCUCGUAGUUGAAUUUCGAGAUCGGCUUACUGGUCGUGCUUUUGUACGUACUGGUAAAUCGGUUUCUCCUUUCUGACGAACUUUAAUGCCAUUAAUUUGGUGUUUUAGGGAAUCAGGACUGUUACUUUGAAAAAAUUUAGAGUGUUUAAAGCAGGCUCACGCUUGAAUACAUUAGCAUGGAAUAACGGAAUAGGACGUUUGAUUUUAUUUUGUUGGUUUCUAGGAUCGACGUAAUGAUUAAUAGGGAUAGUUGGGGGCAUUAGUAUUCAAUUGUCAGAGGUGAAAUUCUUGGAUUUAUUGAAGACUAACUACUGCGAAAGCAUUUGCCAAGGAUGUUUUCAUUAAUCAAGAACGAAAGUUAGGGGAUCGAAGACGAUCAGAUACCGUCGUAGUCUUAACCAUAAACUAUGCCGACUAGGGAUCGGAUGAUGUUAAUUUUUUAAUGACUCAUUCGGCGCCUUAC